AAGCUCGUAGUUGAAUUUCGGGAUUAGUGCGCCGGUCGUGCCUUCGGUAUGUACUGGUGUUACUGGUUCCUACCUUCUGACGAACCGUCAUGUCAUUAAUUUGGUGUGGCGGGGAAUCAGGACUGUUACUUUGAAAAAAUUAGAGUGUUUAAAGCAGGCUCGCGCUUGAAUACAUUAGCAUGGAAUAAUGAAAUAGGACGUUCGAUCCUAUUUUGUUGGUUUCUAGGAUUGACGUAAUGAUUAAUAGGGAUAGUUGGGGGCAUUAGUAUUCAAUUGUCAGAGGUGAAAUUCUUGGAUUUAUUGAGGACUAACUACUGCGAAAGCACUUGCCAAGGAUGUUUUCAUUAAUCAAGAACGAAAGUUAGGGGAUCGAAGACGAUCAGAUACCGUCGUAGUCUUAACCAUAAACUAUGCCGACUAGGGAUCGGAUGAUGUUAUUUUUAAUGACUCAUUCGGCGCCUUACGGGAAACCAAAGUGUUUGGGUUCCGGGGGGAGUAUGGUCGCAAGGCUGAAACUUAAAGGAAUUGACGGAAGGGCACCACCAGGGGUGGAGCCUGCGGCUUAAUUUGACUCAACACGGGGAAU
rnacentral:rRNA from 1 species